rnacentral:rRNA from 1 species
UAUUAUACUAAUAGACAUUAGUAGCCUAGAUUAUUGAUAGAUAUAUUCUUAAAAUUCAAAGAAUUUGGCGGUAAUUUAGUCUUGUUAGAGGAACCUGUUUUUGAAUCGAUACACCACGUAGAAUUUUACUUAUUUUAUUAAGUUUAUAUACCGUCAUUGGCAGAUAAUUUUUAAAGAAUUAAUUAUUAAGGUUUAAAAAAAGAAUUUAAGCUAAAUUAGAUCAAGGUGUAGCUGAUAAAUAAGUUAGAAUGGGUUACAAUAAAAUUUAUUUAUAACGGAGCAGUUAUAAGAAAUGAUACUGUAGAAGGAGGAUUUAAUUGUAAUGUAAAUUUAAUAAGUUAGGAAGAUAUAAGCUCUAAAUUAU